rnacentral:rRNA from 1 species
CCUGGGCUCACAUUGAACGCUGGCGGCAGGCCUAGUACAUGCUAGUCGAGCGAUAACCGGAAUUAGCUUGCUAAUUUGCUGACAAGCGGAGGACGGGUGAGUAACUCGUCCGAAUCUGCCUGGACUUGGGGGACAACAUGUCAAAACGCAUGCUUGUACUGCAUACGCCCUACCGGGGAAAGGAGGGGAUCUUCUGACCUUUCUCUAUCAGAUGAUCCUGCGAGAGAUUAGCUAGUUAGAGGGGUAAAGGCUCACCGUCCCUACGAUGCCCCUCUGGUCUGACCGGAUGAUCUGUCCCACUGGGACUGAAACCCGGCCCAUACUCCUACCGGAGGCGCAACACGGGAAUAUUGGACAAUGGGUGCCUGCCUGAUCCAUCCAUGCCGCGUGUGUGAAUCAGGCCUUCCCGUUGUAAAGCACUUUCGGACUAGAGGAAAGGUUGUCCGUUAAUACCUGGGAGCUGUCAACUGACUCGCACAAGAAGCACCCGCUAACUCCGUGCCAGCGUAUUCGGUA